GUGACUCUGGUGGCCCUGUGGUCUGGAACAGACAGCUCCAAGGAAUUGUCUCCUGGGGUGAUGCCUGUGCCCAGAAGAACAGGCCUGUAGUCUACACCAAAGUCUACAACUAUUUGGCCUGGAUUAAGGACAUCAUAGCUGCCAACAGCUAAAGCCCCCAGUCACUCUGCAGUCUCUAUACCAGUAAAGUGACCCUGCUCUCACUGUCUGUGUCUGUACCUGCUCCCUCACACUCUUUCACACUGGAAAGCAUCCUCCAAUCUAAGGUCAGACACGACAGUCCCCCUUAAAGCCACUCUCCAGCCAAGUUCUUUCAAGCCCAACGGAGGAAGAGCCACAAACAUCCCUUUUCCAGAAGAGAAUUCUUGCCUGCCCACUGGUAGAAUGCUUGUUUUUAUCUGUCUUUUGUUGUUUGUCAAAGAAAAAUCAAAGGUAAAGUGGUAUGAUCUUCCACACCUGAACCAGGUUGCAGCCACCAGAGCCUGUUGGGAAGGGGCCCGUCAAGCAUGCAUUGAUCUUGUCACCUGGAAUUUGAGAGAUCAAGAAGACCCAUAGCAACCGACCAUACACCUGCCCAUCAGCACUCAUCCUUUCACAGAAUUAGCUCAAUUCUGGCUCUGCAGACACUGGCAGCCAUAGGUGACAAAUCCUGGGCCUCUGUGGGCUUCCCUCAUCACCCAGGGCCACAAUGGGCUGCCUGUCCUAGGCAGAGACACAGCAACAUUCUAUUAAACUGAAAAUAAGCUUAAA